CUUCUGAAGGGACUUGGCUAUGGAAGGUGGCUCGGGGCCGAUCCUGGCAAGCCCAGGCUCCUGAACCCUCAUUCCAGCCCGGCCGCCAGGCCCAGAGAACAUCCUGUUCUGCCCUUGUGGGAGCAGAGCCCAGCUUUGUCCAGGGCUGCUGGACCCUGUGGGGCGCCAGCCUCCUGCUGGGCGCAGACUCCUGCAGUCUCCAGGACCUUCCUGAGCCCGAGCUGCCCUGUCUGCCGCCCCUCCACACGGGGUCUGCGCUGCUCCUAUGGCAACGCUCCCCUCCCCUCCCCUCCCUGCCCCCCGCCCUGCCCUGACGCAUUCCUGUGGUCCAGUGGAGAGGUACCUUCUCACCGGUGGCCGCUGGGCUUGGAGACAGACCUUGGGUCAGCAGAGCUGAUUGCUAGCUCUGCUCCAGGACACCAGCUGCUCCUGUUGGUCCUGGGCACGCCAUUCCAAUUGCACAGGUGACAGCAACAAGGAUUUUAGAGAGAAAAAUCCAGGAUUUCCAGACAACAGAGUUGAAAGAAGGCAAGGACAGCACUGCAAACCUGUGCGCCAUCGCUGCCUCUAGAAGCCUAGAAAAUAAUACAGGAGGGGACUUCAGAUUGGUCAUGGAAAAUGGAACAAAGAGAGCUAUUUAUUUUGUGCAAAAUGUUUUUGGAAUCCACGUAUCAUCUGUUCAUAAUAUGUGUAUUCCACAAACACUUCAAAGAUGCCUUGUAUGCACGGAUUUCAAAAUUUUUUUUGGACCAAACUUAUCUUUUCAUUUCAGUUUCUUUUUAUUAACUUUAAAAAACUUUUUUAGGGCCGGAGUUGUGCAUAGCAGCUAAAGCUGCCACCUGCAGCGCUGACAUCCCAUAAGGGUGCCUGUUUGAGUCCCAGUUGCUCCACUUCCAAUCCAGCUCCCUGCUAAUGCAUCUGGGAAAGCAGUGGAGGAUGACCCAAGUGCUUGGGGCUCUGUACCCACAUAGGAGACCCAGAAGAAGUUCCUGGCUCCUGGCUUCAGAUCGGCACAGCUCUGGCUGUUGCAGCCAAUUGGGGAGUGAACCAGCAGAUGGAAGACCUCUCUCUCUCUCUGUGUAACUCUGACUUUCAAAUAAAUAAAUAAAUCUUUAAAAAAAUAAAAAUAAA
rnacentral:lncRNA from 1 species